rnacentral:rRNA from 1 species
AUUGAACGCUGGCGGCAGGCCUAACACAUGCAAGUCGAGCGGAUGAAGGGAGCUUGCUCCUGGAUUCAGCGGCGGACGGGUGAGUAAUGCCUAGGAAUCUGCCUGGUAGUGGGGGAUAACGUCCGGAAACGGGCGCUAAUACCGCAUACGUCCUGAGGGAGAAAGUGGGGGAUCUUCGGACCUCACGCUAUCAGAUGAGCCUAGGUCGGAUUAGCUAGUUGGUGGGGUAAAGGCCUACCAAGGCGACGAUCCGUAACUGGUCUGCGAGGAUGAUCAGUCACACUGGAACUGAGACACGGUCCAGACUCCUACGGGAGGCAGCAGUGGGGAAUAUUGGACAAUGGGCGAAAGCCUGAUCCAGCCAUGCCGCGUGUGUGAAGAAGGUCUUCGGAUUGUAAAGCACUUUAAGUUGGGAGGAAGGGCAGUAAGUUAAGACCUUGCUGUUUUGACGUUACCAACAGAAUAAGCACCGGCUAACUUCGUG